AUUGAACGCUGGCGGCAGGCUUAACACAUGCAAGUCGAGCGAGCGGAGGACGGGUGAGUAAUGUCUGGGAAACUGCCUGAGGGAGGGGGAUAACGACUGGAAACGGUAGCUAAUACAGCAUACCAUCAGAUGUGCCCAGAUGGGAUUAGCAAGGAGGUGGGGUAAUGGCUCACCUAGGCGACGAUCCCUAGCGGGUCUGAGAGGAUGACCAGCCACACUGGAACGGGUACACGGUCCAGACUCCUACGGGAGGCAGCAGUGGGGAAUAUUGCACAAUGGGCGCAAGCCUGAUGCAGCCAUGCCGCGUGUGUGAAGAAGGCCUUCGGGUUGUAAAGCACUUUCAGCGAGGAGGCGUUACUCGCAGAAGAAGCACCGGCUAACUCCGUGCCAGCAGCCGCGGUAAUAC
rnacentral:rRNA from 1 species